GAUAAGAUGCCUGAUUAUAGGGCUAUUUUGAUAGAAUAGAAAAUGUAUUUUAUUUAAUACUCUUAUUA
rnacentral:tRNA from 1 species